ensembl:lncRNA
CGUUUUUUAUGUAAAGUAAUAUGACGGGAGCUUCAUCUCUCCAACAUAAACCCCGUUCCUGGUGUUGAUCCGAGAAGAUAAAUGUAAAAAUGGAGAGCUACGUGACUUGAAACACGUAACAGAUCGAGCUCCAACAGUUUAAUUACGCGUCCUGAUGUUGCGCUUUAAAGCCGACGGAUCAAACGGCCGUCGCCGUUCCUCUCGUCCCUCUAAUCCACGCAUGAAAGGCGAACAUUGCACUUAAAACACGUCUAAAAUGUCACUUCCUCACCUCGCCGAGCAUCGCUGAUACGCGCCGAUAACUCCAGCGUAGCUGUGAUACGGAUCUUUAAUUAAAUUUCCACUGUCUAAAAACUCAUCUCUGAUGCUCUCUUAAUAAGGUUUAAUCUAUAAUUAUGUCAAUAAAUAUAUUCAUAUAUAAUACACAUGAUCGUUUAUCAAAUCUUAGAAAUAUCUGACACGUUUUUACGCUGAUGUUUUUGUCGUUAAAAUUGUAACUGUAAAAAAAAAAAAUCGCAUUUUUAAUUAAAAGUUCGUUAAAAUAAUGCUUUGAUUAUGGGUUGUUGUUUGUUUUGCAUUUCCGCGUCAUUUCGAGAGAGAAAAAACAACAACAGGAGGUUAUUGCUAGGUUAAAGCUAAUAAAGCUAACGACUUUUGUUAGCUAACUCCACAUUUAACUUAGCAAUUUGAAUUUUUUUUUUAAAUGCUAGGCGUACAGUUAAACUUCCCACGAUGGCACUUGUGAGCGUAGCGUGUUAGCUGUAUUUAUGCUAGCACUUUACAUGUAGUAUAUGGGUUGUUGUUUUUUUUUAAACUUUUGCUAGCACAUUCAUAUUUGUAACUUUUUGUUUAUAGUCUUUUGUGCUAAUCGCAUGCUAGCUAUACGAUUUCAUGUCAGGAUUUUUUUUUUUGUACUUUCACUACGUUUGCUUCGAGCUUGAUAACGACAUUCAUUCCUUCACGAGUUUCAUUUGGUUUCAGGUUAUACGCCUGCUGAGAUUCGGUUUAAAAUUAGCAGCAGUUUCGUUCGGCUAGUAGCUUCCUGACGCGAUUCCCUUUGCGCUAGUAAUUUGCUAGCUACCUUUAAUUGCUAGCAGCAGAAUGUUUUUGGGUUGUUUUUUGGGGGGUUUUUUUGCUAGUAGCUGCUCAUAAUAUACUUUACUUUGUGCUUGUAGUGUUCUCGCUGUGUUUUAUUUGACCUUUAUUUAUUAUUCAAUCUAUUUACUCUAGGAAGAUUGUUCUAGAUACGUAUGCUAGUAAUGGCACGGUUUUGUUUGUGUAGUGCUAAUUAUUAGUUUUAUUAUUUUUACUGGAUAAUCUAGUGUUUUAAAUGAUUUUUUCCGAGGUGACUGUACUGUUACAGUUAGCAUAGCACUUCAUUACGAGUUUCUGGUCAGUCCUGCGCAGGCUGCCCGGGUUGUGUCGGUGAUUGGGUUACGUUGUAGGUGACACUAAGCUCGGUUAGUCAUCGCGGUGACCUCUUCCUCCUCCUCCUCCUCCUCCUCGUAAGCAGAGUAGCCUAGCAGGAAUAAUUUAUAAGCAGCACCUCCGCACUUCAAUUUAGCUUCAUCUCCUGAGCAGGGCCCCAGGGCUCGACUCAACAAAGCAACAACGGCCGCUGAACUUUUGAUCCGAUGAAUUCUUAAUGACAGAUUUGAUUACAAACACGGCCUCGUAUUAGAUGAGUUCAGUGUCUGGCUGCGAAAAGGGCGACCGCCAGCAACGUGGCACAGACAUGACACUGGCAUUUCUGCUGUUAGCAUCACGCUAAUCACUAAUCACUUCACACAAAGGCACUUGCUAACAUUUACAUCAGACCUGAAUUCACACGUACAGUUAGCUGUUUUAUUAUUAUUUUUUAAACCACCACCGCAAGGUUUCAAGCUAAUUAUUUUAACACGUCAAUCAAUUCGCACUCAGCCAGCUCAUCUUUAACGUACCGUUUCCUAUUGUGCCUCAUGCUAAUCGCUAAUCACUUCACACAUUUCUACCAGACACUGAGAAAUCCGCAUAAAAUCGUGCUAAUCGCUAAUCACAGCCGUUAUGAAAACCACACCAAGAUGCUUUUUUUUUUUAAAAACAAACAGUUCUUUUUGCUCUUUUUCACUUCGCUAGUCGCUAACAACCAUGACGUAUUUAUAACUAAUUCUUUACCUUUAGAGUCCAACCCAUUGCUCCAGGUUCAUGCUAACUGCUAAUCAUUUCCCUCUCAGCUGUGAUUAAAAAUCUAUUAAGAGUUACAAUCCAAACCGUUGCGCUAAUCACUCUAAUCUCCUCACACUUAUCUGUCAUUCAUUAACAUUUAUAGGUCGACCCCUUGCUAAGCGCUAAUCGUUUCACUAGCUGUUAUAUAAAAAAAAAGACACCAUAUUAAUGAUCAAUUUAACUUUAAAGUCCAAACCAUCAUGCUAAUCGAUCAUGCUAAGCGCUAACCACCUCACACUCUGCUGUUAUGAGAAACAUCACGUUUGAGGCUAAUUCUUUCACAUUUAAAGUCUGACCCUUUGCUAAUCGCUAAUCCUUUAAUUUCACUGACUAGCUGUUAUUUAAAACACACACACACACACACACACACACACACACACACACACACACACAUACAUACCUACCGAGCUAAUGAUAAAUUUCUGCUGUUCUAUAACAAAUCAGACCAUCUUCAAAACUAAUUCUUUAACAUGUAUAGUCCAACUCUUUGCUAAUCGCUAAUCACUUCACCCUUGAUUAGCUGUUAUAGAAACUGCCCCAUGUUUAAGGCUAAUUCUUUACCACAGCCCAAACUUUUACCCAGCCUCAUGCUAACAAUAUAACCCUCAACUAGCUGUUCUAAAAAAAAAAAAAUGUUUAUCCCACCAUGUUUAAGGCUAAUUCUUUAACAUUUAGAGCUCAAGCCCUUGCUAAUCGCUAAUCACGUCACGCUCAAAAAUCUGUUAUGAAAACUACUCCAUGUUUGUUUGAUUUUUAAGUAUAAACAUUUAGAGUCCACACCAUUGUGCUAAUCUCUUAGCAUGAUUGCUAAUCCCUUCAGACUAAGUUGUUAUUAAACAAAAAAACACUCCAUGUUUAUAGUAUUUUAUUUGAACAUUUAAAACUCCAACCUAUAGCUAAUAUUUUUAAUAAUAUUAACCAAGUUAUUGAGUUUGUUGUGUUGAUUUUAUUUGGUUUUUGUUGCAGUGGUGAUGACAAACAAAGGCUGAAAAUGUCCUUAGUUAGCCGUGUUAGUUGGAUUAGCCAAUGAGGCGGCUCCUGUAAUUGGCUCGUUAGCUUUGCUGUGCAUCCAGCUGUGACGAGAUCUACUGAUGUAGGAUGUGUUGGGCAAGCAAGGCACUGGGCGAGUUAGCAACUUAACACUCCUUCAUCUUGGAUGAUGUGAUGUGAUUACAGAGGUGACGGGGAACCGGAGGCUCGGAAAGAGUCGGAGGAAACUUCUCGAGUGGAGAAAGUAAGAAGGAAAGAAAGAAAGAACCGAAGAAAAGGAAGGUAAAAACAAAGUAAUGAAUAAAUGGGUCAAGAAGAAAAGAAUGAAGGAAAAAAACAAGAACAAAUAAAUGAAUGAGAGAAUUUUAAAGCCUUGACCAAAAAUGUUUCAAUAUAUAUCAAUGUAUAUCAACAUUUUUAUCUUUUUUUUUUUUACAAAUGUCAGAAAUAAAAGAAGGACAGAUUUGGGGGGGAAAUACAGAAAGAAAGAAAGAAAGAAGCUGCUGAUUGGUCGGCUGCUGUAGAUGAUUAGUUAUUAUCAGUUGAAAUUCAAUUUUUGUUCAAUUCUUUAACUUCUGAAUAAUUAAAACUUUUAUAACCUUUCUAUGUCUUUCUUUCCUUCACAGUUCGUUUCUUUCUGUCAUCUCCAGCAACCAUUACUGUGUAGUGUUUAUUAAAUAUUAUAAACUUCACUAAAGCGCCCCUUUAACCACGGACAAGAAGGACGGGAAGAAAAAAGAAAGAAGCCAGGACAUACUUUAAAAAAAAAAAAAAAAAAAGAUGAUUUUAUUACGGUUUAUAGAAUUAAAAAUAGACUUAAGAAAGUAAAUUGUCCUAGUAAUGAUCAACCGUGUCUCCAGGGUACUUUUGUCAGUGUGUGUGUGUGUGCGAGGGUGAAGUUAACGUGGUGGUGAAAGUUCUGAUCCAUCAGCGGCUCAGCGGGUCAGGGGCGUGUGUGAGAUGGGUCGUUCUUCACCGUGGACAGAAACCCACUGAGACUCCCAUAUGGAGAACCGUCUGAGCCAAAAGCCCACGAGAGACGGAUGUCCACGUAUGAGAUGAGCACUCCUCACACGCCGUGACAGGUCACACACACACACACACACACACACACACACAGCAUAGAGCAGAGAGUGGGAUGGAAAAUCCUCUGGGUAUGACUUCAUUACUGAAAUAAAAUCAUUAAAAAUAAUACAGAAUGUGUAUAAACAUUAAUAAAUAAAAAUAAUAAAAUGCAUGAAUAAAUGAUCAAUAUGAAGC